rnacentral:rRNA from 1 species
UACGUAGGGGGCAAGCGUUGUCCGGAAUCAUUGGGCGUAAAGAGCGUGUAGGCGGUCCGAUAAGUCGGUUGUGAAAGUCCAGGGCUCAACCUUGGGAUGCCGACCGAUACUGUCGGACUAGAGUUCGGAAGAGGCGAGUGGAAUUCCCGGUGUAGCGGUGAAAUGCGCAGAUAUCGGGAGGAACACCUAUGGCGAAGGCAGCUCGCUGGGACGUUACUGACGCUGAGACGCGAAAGCGUGGGGAGCAAACAGG